GAAUACACGAGGGGUUUUAGCUCCUCCUGUUUUUUCAUUCCAUGCAUUUUUCUUUUCUAACAAAUUUUGUAUUAUUAGACUAUCAACACAAUUCAAAAUCCCCUUUGGUUGAACGUGAGGACCGCCCCACUCGGACGAUCCGAAGCACCACACAGGAGGAAUUAUCCCAAAUCAAUAGAAACCAGAUUGAGAUGAAUUUGAAACGUAAACACGCCUCGAGCUCCUCAUCAUCUUCCACAGAGCAGCUCUGUUCAUCGGGUCUUCUCCGCUUCCUGCUCGCAGGGUUCACACAGAGAAGCUCGGGUUUCCGAGCUGCAGCUGAACGCAGCACUAGGCACACAUUUUGCGAGCAUUUUUAUUUUUUUAUAUAUCUAAACCUGCUCUCAUGGGCACGCGCUCAGUAUCCAAUGCGCGCUCCCGCCACCCCCUUCCCCAUUACCCCAGCAGGCGCGCGCAGUCGCUGAGGUCCACGCGGUGGUGGGAUUGAAGAGGCUCAGUGGGAGGAACCCGUGGAACCCAGAGGAACAGCAGCAGCUUGAUGUUCUGUUUCCACGUGCAGAAAUGAACCGAGAUGUGUUGAAACAAAUCCUGAGUAUACAAAGUCACAUGCUGCACCGAGCGCUCUCAUUGGACGGCAGCGUGUCUGCGCUGUGCAGUGGGCGGGGCCAGUUAAUUUCCACCAUGAGGUUCAGCGCUGAGCUUCUGAAUCAGUAAUCCCCGGCCUGCAGCUUGAGACCUUCGGAUGAGGUCGAACUCGCUGCUCGACUCGUCAGCCUCCGAGGAGCUCGACCCUCAGUUCACCUGAAGAACUCAAACUACAAACUUCAGCCUGUUUGGAAAUCAUCUCCAAAGUGGCCAACUGGAUGUGACUUUAAUUUAUAUAUAUAUAUGGACUUCAUGUUAUACUUCUGCCUCAAACACUAAAACUCUUUUUGUGUUCAGAAAAGUUUAUUUUAUUUAUACGGUUUAAAAUCACCAGUUUGCCUCCGAUUUUCCUGCUCAGUGGUUUGCAGAGCAAUCGGUUCACAUUUAAAAGCAUUCACUUGCUAAAUUACACACACACACACACACCAACACACACACACACACACACACACACACACACACACCAACACACACACACAAACACACACACACACACGUGAUGCACUUCCCCAGCUUUGGUUUUGCUUCUCCAUCUGUUACAUAAGCGCAAAUGUCCAGAUUUGUUGCUGCACAUACUGAAGUAAACACACUGACUGGAAAACACUGCUUCACUCAAAUGCACACAACACACACACACGCACACAACAAACACACACACGCUCCUUAAGGCAACUUUGCAUCAUCCAAAUGAGUCAGUGUGAUGUUCAGGGAACCAAACAUCCUGCGUUGAAUUAAAGUAAAAUAUAUCUGACUUUA